UAGGAUAUCAAUUAAUUGGGUAAUAACGAAUUAUCUGAAACCCAAAGAAAUUGGCGGUGCCCCACACACUUGGAGGAAUCUGUUACAUAAUCUGAUAAUCCGCAGCUUAUCUUACCUCACUUUCUACUUGCACAUCGCCAUUUUAAGAGUAUGCUCAAAGGGAUACUCUAACCCAAUUACAUCCCUAAAAUUAGGUCGACAUACAGUUAUAGUGAGGACGUGAUGGAUUACAAUACCAUUUAGGUACAACGAAUGGCCUAGAGAAACUAGCCCUGAAGGUGGAUUCAAUAGUAAUAUAAGAGUAGAGUGCUUAUAUGAAUAGUUUCUGGGACAUGU
rnacentral:rRNA from 1 species